GCUGGACACGCGCCCUUCCCAGAAGUCCUGGGAGGAUGGUUGCCAUAGAAACAUCCUGCCGAGUUGGGGAUAUCCGGAAAUGCCUGCUCCGGCUGGGGGGGAGGACCCCGGUUUCCGUUCCCGUGUUCUCUUUGUACCGGGUCCUUCCCGGCUGGACCUCUGUCUAGAAGCCUCCAGGUCUCCGGUCCUGCUUUCGGGAGAUGUAAGGAAAUGCCAGCCUUCCUCAUGUUUCCUGUCUCCUCCUCAGCCGCCUUCUGAAAGCUGUUGUUUCCUGCAAGGGUACGAUGAUCGGGACAGCCAGCGUCCAGGACUUUCAGUUGAUAAACCAGAUGUUCUCUUCUACUUGGAGAGAGGAGAUACGCCCUGGAUAAUAGAGCAGCAAGUCCCAAGGAGCACCUGCCCAGUGUGCCUUAAGCCAGGCACUAGGUGUGAAACAAUGGAGGCAAUUCCCAGGCAAGGCAUUUCUGUUGGAAAGUCAUCGAAGGAACAACUUAAGAAGCCUGGAAUCUGUAAUUCCAAAUUUGGAAAAGGCUGGGAAUGUGAUAUUAGAUUAGAGUACCAGGACAGCAGUCAUAAAAAACAGUCCCAGCAAGUUACGAUCACCCACAGAAAUAUUUCUACUAAAUUUGAGCCAAUAAAUAUAACAGAUUUGGAAUAGGCUUUGGUCUGGGCCCAGUCUUGGUUCCACAUCAGAGAGUUCAUAUAGGACAAAGUCUGCAGAAAUGUGAUGCACAUAGAAAGAACUUCAAACAGUGUUUAGAUGAAAGUAAUCACAUUGGAAUCUUUUUUGACAAGAAGCUUUGCAAGUGUAAUCAAUCAAUGUAGGGAGGCAUUCAGUUGCCUUUCAGACAUUAUUCAACAUCAUAAGAAAGAUAUUGAAGAAAAUUCAAAUGCAUAUGAUGAACGUGGGGAAGUGUUCAGUUGCCGAUCUUGUCUUAUUCUACAUUGGGGAGUUUAGAUUGAAGAAGAACCCAUUGAGUAUAAUGAAUGUGGUCAGUCCUUUAGUUGGCAUCAGCCUAUUACUGAACAGAAAAACAAUUCUUAUGGGAGAGAAACACUUUAAAUAUAACUAAUGUAGGAAAUUGUUUAAUCAUACUAGAUACCUUGCUAACCAUAAGAGAAGUCAUACUGGAGAGAAACAGUUGGAAUGUAGCAACUGUGGGAAAUGUUUUACUCAAUUUUACCCAGGACACCUUACUAAACAUAAGAGACUUCGUACAGGAGAGAAACCCUUCGAAUGUAAUGAAUGUGGCAAAUCAUUUAGCCUGAAGGAAAGGCUUACUACACAUGAGAGGAUUCAUACUGGAGAGAAACCCUUCAAAUGUAAUGAAUGUGGCAAAUCCUUUAAUCUUCGUGGACACCUUGAUAGCCAUAAGAGAAUUCAUACUGGAAAGAAACCUUUUGAAUGUAAUGAAUGUGGGAAAUGCUUUACUCAGAGUGGAGACCUUAUUAAACAUAAGAGAAUUCAUACUGGAGAAAGACCCUUUGAAUGUAAUGAAUGUGGGAGGUCUUUUGGCAGGAGAGAAUGACUUACCACAUAUGAGAGGAUUCAUACUGGAGAGAAACCUUUUGAAUGCAAUGAAUGUGGGAAAGCCUUUAGCAGAAAGGAACAGCUUACCACACAUAACAAGGAUCCAUACUGGAGAGAGACGCUUUGAAUGUAAUAAAUGUGGUAAAUCUUUUCA
ensembl:lncRNA